GCUUGUCUCAAAGAUUAAGCCAUGCAUGUCUAAGUACAUACCUUUGCACGGUGAAACCGCGAAUGGCUCAUUAAAUCAGUUAUGGUUCCUUAGAUCAUUCAUAUUACAUGGAUAACUGUGGUAAUUCUAGAGCUAAUACAUGCAAAAAGCUCCGACCUUAUGGGAAGAGCGCUUUUAUUAGACCAAAACCAAUGAAAUCGCAAGAUUUCUAUUUCUGGUGACUCUGGAUAACUUUGUGCUGAUCGCAUGGCCUCGAGCCGGCGACAUAUCUUUCAAGUGUCUGCCCUAUCAACUUUCGAUGGUAAGCGACCUGCCUACCAUGGUUGUAACGGGUAACGGGGAAUCAGGGUUCGAUUCCGGAGAGGGAGCAUGAGAAAUGGCUACCACAUCUAAGGAAGGCAGCAGG
rnacentral:rRNA from 1 species